GAUGAACGCUGGCGGCGUGCUUAACACAUGCAAGUCGAACGGGAAACCUUUUAUUGAAGCUUCGGCAGAUUUAGAUUGUUUCUAGUGGCGGACGGGUGAGUAACGCGUGGGUAACCUGCCUUGUACAGGGGGAUAACAGUCAGAAAUGACUGCUAAUACCGCAUAAGCGCACAGGACCGCAUGGUCCGGUGUGAAAAACUCCGGUGGUAUAAGAUGGACCCGCGUUGGAUUAGCUAGUUGGUGAGGUAACGGCCCACCAAGGCGACGAUCCAUAGCCGGCCUGAGAGGGUGAACGGCCACAUUGGGACUGAGACACGGCCCAGACUCCUACGGGAGGCAGCAGUGGGGAAUAUUGCACAAUGGGGGAAACCCUGAUGCAGCGACGCCGCGUGAAGGAAGAAGUAUCUCGGUAUGUAAACUUCUAUCAGCAGGGAAGAAAAUGACGGUAC
rnacentral:rRNA from 1 species